UGUUAGCUAAUGCUGGGCCAACGCUGGGACAGGAGAUAAAAGAAACAUGCUAACAAUGCUCCACUUGAAAACAGGCAUGGUAAUACCAGCAUGUUAUUGUGGCAGAACUGAGGGGGUAAUCUAAAUUUAGGGAUGCAUGUGAGUUCUGAGGCAUGAUGUCAUGGAAAUGCUUUCCACGCCCUGAAAGAGGAAGGUGCUGUGAGAAUUUCCUUUCUAUUGUUCCAGGUGCUCCAUGUGCUUAGGGGGACACUGACUUUGGAAGGACUUAUCAACACAUCCCAUCCCCUCUGAGAGAUGGAGGAGCAAGAAACAGCGGAGGUGCAUGCACACUCAAAAAUAUACAAAAUAGAACAAAGAACAAGUUGAUUUAAUUUGCACUGUGAAACUAUAAUUCAGACUGGAUACAGCAGGUGAAUGGGACACAUAGGUCACUGGAGAUAUAGUACACUCUGAUGUCCCAGGCAAUCUCUACAUCCUGUUUUUGCAUUUUGAUACCACUUCACUGUUUUCAAAUCCCAGUUUGAAAUAGUAUUUAGUAGUUUUGAAGAUUCCUUCAUGGAGGUAUUUUCAAGUUCUUCAUAAAGUAAGCAAUAAUGAUAUCGUGAUUGAAAUUCACAGUGCUUUCAUCUGACCCACCACAAGAUUAGCAGGACUGUCUACUUUGGCCUCUGGAAAUACACAAUGAACAUAUGAGGGUAGACUGAUGAAAUGAAGUGUUAUGGUCACAUUCCUUUGCAGUACAGCUGUUUUUGGAGAUGGUCAUUUGGUGAUAUAAGCUUCAUAAGGUAGCUGAAUACUUUAGUGCAAAGAUUUUAAAUAUGCUAAACUGUCAAUAAUGUGAUAUAUGUGCUUCCUGAAUUAUUACAAUCAUUGUCAAUGAGUCAACUUUAAAGAUCAUCCACUAGUGAGGACAAGGUAUUGUUCAGUGCAAGUUUUUUAACCAAAACUGGAACACUGUAAAAUGAAUUCAGUAAAGUAAAGGAAAACUAAUCCAUCAGGUAUCAAAACGGGGCUAUAAGAAGGGGACAGAAUCUUUAGCAGAGCCUGCUGUGAUAGGAGAAAGUAAAGUAGUUUCAAGGUAAAAGAGGAGAGACUGGAUAUAAAGUUUUUUAUGCUAAGGUGAUGAGACACUGGAACAGGUUGCCCAGACAGGUAGUAGAUACCCCAUGCUUGAAGACAUUCAAGGUCAGGCUGAAUGGGGCUCUGAGCAACCUGAUCUAGUGGUAGGUGUCCCUGUUCAUUGCAGAAGAGAUGGACUAGAUGAUCUUUAAAGGUCUCAUCCAACUGAACUCUAACUCAAAUGAUUCUAUGAUUCUAAAACUAACUAUAAUAAACUUCCAAGUAAUUGAAACAAGAACAAAAGCUAAACAGAAAUAUUUGGUAUAUCUUCAGGAAACAAGGGUGCUAAAUUAGAAUCAAAUAACCAAAAGAUGCUUAUCACUUAACUCAGCAGUAUGCACCAUGCACAACCACAUGCUGAGGCAGGCAUGCAAAAAAAAAGGUCACAAAAAUAAUUGCUUCUUUAGAUACUUGCAAAGAAAAUAAGUUUCUUGGAACAACAUAAUCUGUCAGAGUAAUGCAGAAAAUGUCAUUUAUACUAUUAUGGAUGAAGCAUGUGAUAAAAUUACAGGGAAAACAAUGGAGUAGAAUAUUGUGGAAGGUGAAUAUUUUCUUCACCAGUGGAUCCAGUUAGAGAAGUGUACUCCAAACAAAAGUAGUGUCCAGACACUGUCACUGAAAUACCAUCUGUGUCAGUGAAAAUUUCAAACUCUCAAAAGGCAAGGAAAUAGUUAUAAAAAUAAAAUUAGAGGUUUGUGCUAAAAUAUAAUCUUCUCUCCUACCAAUAACAUGGAAAUAUGAAUAUGAACACCAGAAAUAUCCCUCAGAACAAAGUUCAAGUAUACUAAAUAAAUUAUCAAAUAUCUGUGGAUUACUUUAUCCAUGAAACUGGACAAAAGAAAUUCAGUAGCAUUUUACAUCAGAAAGGGUAUCUUGGGCUUCAGAGUCAGUGAAAGAAUAGAGGUGACAGUCAGAAUGAAUAUGUCACAACAUCUAUUUAAAAACAAGUCUCUCCCUGUAGGUCUUAAAGCUUUAUAAAUGAAACUUAAAAUCCUGAUAGAAAUUCAAAUUCAUUCAUAGGAAUUAAAAAAGAAUAAAAAGCAAUUUGGAUAAAGGAUUUUGUUAAUGCUCAGACAAUACUGUCCAUACUUGGCUGCAUAACACUUAUCCACUGAUAAAUAAGAUCAGAAAGUCUGUCCUGUGGUGGAAAAAUUGUUUAACAGUACUUCUGGAAUGUUGGCACAUAUGCAGGCUAGAUAGAAAAUAAAAAAUAUUCUCAAGCUCUGUACUUUGUCAGAUAAAACUAGAAAGUUGAUUUUUAUCCUAUAUGUAGUAGAGUUCAAGACUGUGAUAUAUUCUUUUCUCAGACUGGGCCAUUUUUGCAGUCAAGAUACUAAAAUAUUGGACUUCUGAUCUAGAAAAUCCUAUCCAUGCCAAUGGCUAAAACUCCACUGAUAGCUAUUGUAAAGUUACGAGGACCUCGGAUACUCUCUUUUACACUAUGUAAAACAGAAAUCUUGGAAGAUAAUUUAUAUUGAUAUAAUUAUUAGGAAUUAAAGGCGGAUUUGUAUGAAACUACUCAAUGUUGGGGACAAAUACUGAUCAGAGAAACAAGAAAGUGAUUGUAGAUGCUUCAUGAAGAAACUUAGCAAGAAUUCCUCUUUCUACAGUGUCUUAUAGAUCCAUUGUGUACAGUGGAAUAACUGAAUGAAUAUUUCAUUCGUUUUUUAGAGCGACAUCAACAGUAACAAUGUAAAACAUUGCGUAAAUGAAUAAAAAAUCAGUCUUACUUUUUAAAAGCAAAGCAAGAGCAUUAACUCAUCUCCAAUAUGUUGUUCAAGUGACUACAAAAAUAUAUUAACUGAUAUAUUUUGAAAAGUGUAUGUAAUUCAGGAAAUGCAUGCCUGUGGGUGUAGCUUUUAAUUAUAUGAUCAAUAUAAAAUGCCAAGUUAAGUAUCUACUUUAAAAUCGAGUAUAUAUUUAUAUAAACCUAAAAUUAUUCUAUAUUGCCAAUAAGUAAUAUGAUUUUUUUUCAUUAAUUGCUAUAAUUGAAAUAGUCCAUAUAUUGUGUCUAAAGAAUAUAAUGAAUGGGAAACAGAUCUUAAACUCGGAAAUAGAAUUUCAUGUUUGGUAUAAACAUUGAAUAUAUUUUACAAAAUAGCCACUACAUUUAUGUGAAGAAGUUUUCCUUUUUUUUUUUUUGUUCUCUUUCACAAAUAGCACAGAACUAAGCAUACUGGGCCUUUGCUUCUCAGAAAUGUGGUCUGAAUUUUUCAACACUGUUUCUCACAGAGUGUGAAUUGACUAAAUCUGGUUAUGAAGGCAAUACUUUUUUUUAACUUUCACAAAUAUAAGUCAUGCUUUUCCACAACAAUCGUUCACAACAUUUCACUUUUCAUAUAACAAAUGAUUUGUAAAUCAAAAAGCAUCUGUUUCACAGUGGAGUCACUGCUAGACUUUUGGAGAUCUAAAGUUGAGGAGCUACUCUCUUCUUAGAAAUCAAAUGAUAUAAGCAUCUCUAUAAUUUGUUUUUGCUUUCUGGGGACUUGAACUGUUUCUCUUUUUGUUUACCUGUAAUGGCAACUGAACACCCAAUAACAACAGAAUAUUUAUUA